rnacentral:rRNA from 1 species
CCUACGGGGUGCAGCAGUGGGGAAUAUUGCACAAUGGGGGGAACCCUGAUGCAGCGACGCAGCGUGGGUGAAGGAGUACUUCGGUACGUUAAGCCCUAUCAGCAGGGAAGAAAAUGACGGUACCUGACUAAGAAGCCCCGGCUAACUACGUGCCAGCAGCCGCGGUAAUACGUAGGGGGCAAGCGUUAUCCGGAUUUACUGGGGGGAAAGGGAGCGUAGACGGCAGUGCAAGUCCGGAGUGAAAGCCCGGGGCUCAACCCUGGGACUGCUCUGGAAACUGGAAAGCUGGAGUGCGGGAGGGGCAGGCGGAAUUCGUGGUGUAGCGGUGAAAUGCGUAGAUAUCAGGAAGAACCCCGGGGGCGAAGGCGACCUGCUGGAGCGUUACUGACGUUGAAGCUCGAAAGCGUGGGGAGCAAACAGGAGUAGAUACCCUUGUAGUC